rnacentral:ncRNA from 1 species
CCUUGAAAAUGGCAAACCAAGCGAAAGCUUGGGACGCAAAGCUACGGGUCUAAGGAGGACUUGUGCUCUGAAAAGGCAUGUCCUCGAUGAUCGCCGGGCUGCCAAG